UACGAGGGGGGCGAGCGUUGUUCGGAAUUAUUGGGCGUAAAGGGCGCGUAGGCGGUGCGGUAAGUCACCUGUGAAACCUCUAGGCUUAACCUAGAGCCUGCAGGCGAAACUGCCGUGCUGGAGUGUGGGAGAGGUGCGUGGAAUUCCCGGUGUAGCGGUGAAAUGCGUAGAGAUCGGGAGGAACACCAGUGGCGAAGGCGGCUACCUGGACCAGCACUGACACUGAGGCACGAAAGCGUGGGGAGCAAACAGG
rnacentral:rRNA from 1 species